rnacentral:rRNA from 1 species
UAGGGAAUCUUCGGCAAUGGGGGGAACCCUGACCGAGCAACGCCGCGUGAGUGAAGAAGGUUUUCGGAUCGUAAAGCUCUGUUGUUAAGGAAGAACGAGUGUGAGAAUGGAAAGUUCAUGCUGUGACGGUACUUAACCAGAAAGGGACGGCUAACUACGUGCCAGCAGCCGCGGUAAUACGUAGGUCCCGAGCGUUGUCCGGAUUUAUUGGGCGUAAAGCGAGCGCAGGCGGUUAGAUAAGUCUGAAGUUAAAGGCAGUGGCUCAACCAUUGUAGGCUUUGGAAACUGUUUAACUUGAGUGCAGAAGGGGAGAGUGGAAUUCCAUGUGUAGCGGUGAAAUGCGUAGAUAUAUGGAGGAACACCGGUGGCGAAAGCGUCUCUCUGGUCUGUAACUGACGCUGAGGCUCGAAAGCGUGGGGAGCGAACAGG